UCAAGCUAAUAAGAGCGCAGGGUGGAUGCCUUGGCACUAAGAGCCGAUGAAAGACGUGAUAAGCUGCGAAAAGCUUCGGGGAGGAGCAAAUAUCCAUUGAUCCGGAGAUAUCUGAAUGGGGAAACCCGGCUGAGAAGCCCUCAGCCACUGUAUGGUGAAUCCAUAGCCAUACAGAGGGAACCCGGUGAACUGAAACAUCUAAGUAGCCGGAGGAAGAGAAAGAAACAUCGAUUCCGGAAGUAGCGGCGAGCGAACCCGGAAGAGCCCAAACCAGCGUGCGUGCAUGCUGGGGUUAAGGACUGCAUAAGUGAGCUGAUUCGUUAGUGGAACUGCCUGGGAAGGCGGGCCGGAGAGGGUGAAAGCCCCGUACAUGAAAACGAUAGGCAGCGGCAGGAUCCAGAGUACCGCGAGACACGAGAAACCUUGCGGGAAGUCGGAGGGACCACCCUCCAAGGCUAAAUACUCCUUAGUGACCGAUAGCGCAUAGUACUGUGAAGGAAAGGUGAAAAGGACCCCGGGAGGGGAGUGAAAGAGAACCUGAAACCCUGUGUUUACAAGCUGUCGGAGCACUUUAAAUGUGCGACGGCGUACUUUUUGUAGAACGGUCCGGCGAGUUAUGGCAUGUGGUAAGGUUAAGUACUUCAGGUACGGAGCCGAAGCGAAAGCGAGUGUGAACAGCACGUAAGAAUCACCUGCCAUAGACCCGAAACCGGGUGAUCUAUCCAUGUCCAGGAUGAAGCUGCCGUAAGAGGUAGUGGAGGUCCGAACACACAUCCGUUGAAAAGGGUGGUGAUGAGGUGUGGAUAGGGGAGAAAUUCCAAUCGAACCCGGAGAUAGCUGGUUCUCCUCGAAAUAGCUUUAGGGCUAGCCCCGUAUUAGUUUAGCGGAGGUAGAGCACUGAAUUCCUAAGGGGGCGUCAAAGCUUACCAAGGGAUAUCAAACUCCGAAUGCCGCAUAAAUGAUGUACGGGAGUCAGACUGCACGAGAUAAGUUGGGCAGUCAAAAGGGAAAGAGCCCAGACCUACAGCUAAGGUCCCAAAGUGUGUGUUAAGUGGAAAAGGAUGUGGGAUUUCAGAGACAACUAGGAUGUUGGCUUAGAAGCAGCCACACAUUCAAAGAGUGCGUAAUAGCUCACUAGUCGAGAGGUCCUGCGCCGAAAAUGUCCGGGGCUGAAACACAACACCGAAGCUCAGGAAUGUAUUUAUACAUUGGUAGAGGAGCAUUCUUAAAGGGACGAAGCAGUACCGAUAAGGAGCUGUGGACUUUUAAGAAGAGAGAAUGCCGGAAUGAGUAGCGAGAUGGAGGUGGGAAUCCUCCAGGCCGAAUAUCCAAGGUUUCCAGAGUAAAGCUGAUCUGCUCUGGGUAAGUCGGGGCCUAAGGUAAGGCUGAGAAGCGUAGCCGAUGGACAACAGGUUGAGAUUCCUGUACCGCGUAUCAUCAGAACUGUGGGGACACAGAAGGACAGCACAGCCCGGGAAUGGAAAGACCGGGGCAAGCAGGGUAGGAGUCAAGCUGGCAAAUCCGCUUGACGAUCCGAAGCUGUGAUGCGGAGCGAAUUUAAGUAGUGAAGUGUGUGAUUCCGGCUGUCAAGAAAAGCCGCUAUCGUGUGAUACGUGCCCGUACCGUAAACCGACACAGGUAGAUGAGGAGAGAAUCCUAAGGCCGGCGGGAGAAGCAUUGUUAAGGAACUCGGCAAAAUGACCCUGUAACUUCGGGAGAAAGGGUGCCUGGGAAACCAGGCCGCAGAGAAUAGGCUCAAGCAACUGUUUAGCAAAAACACAGGUCUAUGCAAAACCGUAAGGUGAGGUAUAUGGGCUGACGCCUGCCCGGUGCUGGAAGGUUAAGAGGAGGGGUUAGCGCAAGCGAAGCUCUGAAUUGAAGCCCCAGUAAACGGCGGCCGUAACUAUAACGGUCCUAAGGUAGCGAAAUUCCUUGUCGGGUAAGUUCCGACCCGCACGAAAGGCGUAAUGAUUUGAGCACUGUCUCGACAAUACAUCCGGUGAAAUUGAAGUACCAGUGAAGAUGCUGGUUACCCGCGCCAGGACGGAAAGACCCCAUGGAGCUUUACUCCAGUUUGGUACUGGGGUCCGGCAGUGCAUGUACAGGAUAGGUGGGAGGCCUGAUGCUUCUUAGAAAGCACUGCUAAAGGAGAAUCAACACCCAUGGCUGAUACUGCUUCUGCUCCAUUUAAUGCCAUUGGAAGGAUCAUGGUGCGGUACUGUUCGUAAGUAUAACCAUAGGUCUUCUGUAAACGGAGGCGCUGUUCUUUGGCAAGUACAGGAGCAGCCUGGUUUGGCACUUUCAGAUCUUCUAACUCUACCAGAUUGGAAUCCAGCCAUUCACCAUAUGGAUUCUUUUCUGCAUAUCGCAGCUUCAGCUCUUCAUCGCUGAUCAUCUUGCCUUCUACUGUAUCUACCAGCAGCAUUUUUCCCGGACGGAGACGAUCUUUUUUCACGAUCUUCGUCUGGUCGAUAUCAAUAGCACCAACCUCAGAAGAAAGGAUCAUAUAACCAUCAUCUGUAAUAUAAUAACGGGAAGGACGCAGGCCAUUCCGGUCAAGGACUGCGCCAACCAUAUCACCAUCUGUAAACAGUAUAGAUGCAGGCCCGUCCCAUGGCUCCAUCAUCGUUGCAUAAUAACGGUAGAAGUCCUUGAUCUCUGAAUCCAUGUAUUUAUCAUGUUCCCAUGGAGCAGGGAUCGUUACCAUAACAGCAAGAGGCAGAUCCAUACCACUCAUGACCAUAAAUUCCAGAGCAUUGUCCAGCAUGGCGGAGUCAGAGCCUUCCUGAUUAAUAAUAGGAAGGACUUUAUGCAUAUCGUACUUGAAAUACUCUGAUUCCAUGUU
rnacentral:rRNA from 1 species